rnacentral:rRNA from 1 species
AUUGAACGCUGGCGGCAGGCCUAACACAUGCAAGUCGAACGAGUGGCGGACGGGUGAGUAAUGUAUGGGAAACUGCCUGAUGGAGGGGGAUAACUACUGGAAACGGUAGCUAAUACCGCAUACCAUCGGAUGUACCCAUAUGGGAUUAGCUAGUAGGUGGGGUAACGGCUCACCUAGGCGACGAUCUCUAGCUGGUCUGAGAGGAUGACCGGCCACACUGGAACGGAGACACGGCCCGGACUCCUACGGGAGGCAGCAGUGGGGAAUAUUGCGCAAUGGGCGCAAGCCUGAUGCAGCCAUGCGGCGUGUAUGAAGAAGGCCUUCGGGUUGUAAAGUACUUUCAGCGGGGAGGCGUUACCCGCAGAAGAAGCACCGGCUAACUCCGUGCCAGCAGCCGCGGUAAUAC